CGUCAGCCAUGGAGUAAAAUUUCAGCAAUUGGAAAGCUCCCCAACCUUGAAGUCCUUAAAUUAGGCUAUGAUUCCUUUGUGGGGGAAAAGUGGGAAAUGCAAGAAGGGGAGUUCCAAAACCUCCGAUUCUUGAAAUUGUCACAGUUGGACUUUCGCUGGUGGACCGCCUCUUCUGAUAAUUUUUGCUGUCUUGAGAAAUUGGUUUUGACUAUGUGUAAAUGGCUGGAAGAGGUCCCUUCUUGUUUAGGGGAAGCCCUCACUCUUGACAUGAUUGAGGUAAUAUGGUGUCCUGAGUCUGCAGUAAAUUCUGUGAAGCAAAUUCGGCAAGAACAGAUGGAUAUGGGAAAUAAGGAUCUAAAGAUUGUUGCUGCUGCACGGAAUUGGUGAUGGUCCACGUUUUCUUCUAAGUGCCAACUCAGAAAGAGAGUCGAUCUCCUCUCAUCACAUUUUGCAAAAGCAGAGUGUGGUUCCACUUAUUAGAUUUGUGUGAUCCUUUCAACCAGCAGAGCACAAGAAUACAUGCCAGAUUUCCUUUUGCAGGUCCUCCAAGAAAGGCCAUCCAACUUUUAAACAGAUAUUGGAACUGUACUGCUAAGUUUUUGCCUGUAAAUUGUCUGGGUACUGCACAGGAGGACAACCAAAAUAAAACCACAGACUGCUGGAGCACGCAUGGAUGGCUUGAUAGCCUUCUUGCAUUACUGGCCUGGAACGGAUCCCUCAACUAGGGAAGUAUUUCUGAUGCUGGCAAGGUUCUUGAAUUGAAUAUUUCUUAACUGGAUGGAUCAGUCACUCGCCGGAGGCUUCAUCAGCUAUUGAAACUUCAUGCUCUCCCUGUUUGAUCUUGUUCUUGACAGAUAAUCUCUUCCUUCCAGCAUCGUAGCUCACUAGCUUGCUCAUCAUCUUAUAAGUUGUGUUAAAACUUCUUCUUUUGCACCAUUCAUAAGCAGCCAUUGCUCUUCGCUGAUGAAGUGGAUCAAGUGUUGCUGGUAGCUCAGACUCCGAAAGAGCAGCAAUAUAAAUUUCAUUUGCUCUCAAUCAAAAGAAAAUGACUAUUGUAAUCCAGUGAAAAAUUAUUAGAUUGCACUGUUUUGCUCUAAAGGAAAAACCAUGCGCCAAAUUGAAUUGGAUAGUAUAUUUUUCUCUCA